UGGGGAACCUUGCGCAAUUGGCGAAAGCCUGACGCAGCAACGCCGCGUGGGGGAUGACGGCCUUCGGGUUGUAAACCUCUUUCGACCGGGACGAAGGAUUCGUUUGACGGUACCGGUAGAAGAAGCACCGGCUAACUACGUGCCAGCAGCCGCGGUAAUACGGGGGGUGCAAGCGUUGUCCGGAAUCAUUGGGCGUAAAGCGUUCGUAGGCGGUACGUCAAGUCUGGUGUUAAAGCCCGAGGCUCAACCUCGGUUCGGCAUUGGAUACUGGCAAACUAGAAUGUGGUAGAGGUAAAGGGAAUUCCUGGUGUAGCGGUGAAAUGCGUAGAUAUCAGGAGGAACAUCGGUGGCGAAAGCGCUUUACUGGACCAUUAUUGACGCUGAGGAACGAAAGCCAGGGGAGCAAAUG
rnacentral:rRNA from 1 species